AUACGGUGGUGUCAAGCGUUAUCCGGACUUAUUGGGUUUAAAGGGUGCGUAGGCGGAUAAAUCAGUCAGCGGUGAAAUUUACGGGCUUCACUUGUAGCUUGCCUUGGAAACUAUUUAUCUAGAGUUAUUUCGGCGUAUGCGGAAUGUAUCAAGUAGCGGUGAAAUGCAUAGAUAUGCUACAGAACACCAAUCGCGAAGGCCGCAUACGAGGCAUCAUCUGACGCUGAUGCACGAAAGCGUGGGGAUCAAACAGGAUUAGAUUCCCUGUUAGUCCACGAUGUAAACUAUGAUAACUAUCUGUUAGCGAUACACAGUUAGAGGGUAAGAGAAAUCAUUAAGUUAUCCACCUGGGGAGUACGGUCGCAAGAAUGAAACUCAAAUGAAUUGACGGGG
rnacentral:rRNA from 1 species